UCUCCUGCUGCACUGUGAAGAAACUGCUUGCUUCCCUCUCACCCUCUGCAGUUUCCUGAGGCCUCCCCAGCCAUGCGGAACUGCCAGAUGCAGUGCCUCAUGCCUGUAAUCCCAGCACUUUGGGAGGCUAAGGAGGGAGGAUUGCUUGAGCCUGCUUCCAUAUCGUAAACUGCCUUGGAACCAAGUACCACUACCAGGGAGACAAACUAUUGCUUAGAGGAUGCUGACGGGAGCAGCAUGCCAAAAUUGGAAGAAGGAGAAAGUUUAAGCUCUCCUCACUAUGAGUUUUCAAGUAUAAAAGACUUUUUCUUCCAUGAUUUUGAGAACAACUGUGGACUCUUGUGACCAGGACAACAGGGAAGCUUGCAGCAAGAUAGCUCCAGGUUGGAUUCACGCUUCGCACCCCAAGGGCUGCCAGCCAGAGAGGAGGAGAAGCAAUCACUCCUGCAGUUUCUGAACACUACACAGACGCCAGGUAGCUUCUUCAGGAGAACAGCCCUCUGAGGAGGCAGGAAGAGGAGGCUUCUCUUUCAGCAGCCGGAGCUGCUGAGAUCUCUGGGCAGAUUAAGCUCUCUCUAAUGGAUGGGCUCCAGCCUGGCACACUCAGUGGAGAGGGAUCCACUCAUCCAUCAUCAACACAAUAUGGUCCUCCCUGCACUUCACAGCGUCCUCUUGCUAUUGAAAAGGCUUUUUUGCCUUCUCAAGUUUCUUUGUCAACAGUCUAUAGGAAGAAGCUCAGGCCGCCACCGGCAGAGGUGAAUGCAAGCUCACGUUUUAUUUCUGACUGCUUAAUCAUUGCCUCGAUCACUGCUCAAGCUCUGCCUUUGUUUCCAAAGGUUACAUGUGGGAAAACUUCUUUUUCUAUGCUGAAAUUAAUAGGGAGGCAAAGAUGAGUCCACUGAUAAGCAGAGCCUUAAAACUCACAUAGAGAAACAACUUUGCUGGAGUGUGUGUGAGUGAACCACUAAGGAAUCAGAUAGUGUGAUGGCAGUUAUCAUUGCAGGUUAAGACAUUUCUACAAAUAUUUCGACACCUCCAUAUACUCACUCCUUUCCCCCCUGAGUGGAGAGACUCAGCUACCAAGAGAGGAAGCUCAAAAAAAACAGAAGCUUCAACCAACCAACCAA
rnacentral:lncRNA from 1 species